rnacentral:snRNA from 1 species
ACUCAUACCUGGCAGGAGAGACACCAUGAUUAUCACAGUGGUUUUCCCUGGGUGAGGCUCAUCUAUUGCACUUUGGAUGUGUUGACUCCUGUGAUUUCCCCAAAUGUAUGGAAAUCAACUGCCCAAGUGAGGGACUAUGCUUGUGGUUUCCCAUG